rnacentral:tRNA from 1 species
GCCUCUAUGGCACAGGGGUAAUGCGUGUCACUCGUAUAGCAAUUAAGCAUGCGGUGUAAUGACAAGAUCCGCGGUUCGAUUCCGCGUGGAGGCA